rnacentral:rRNA from 1 species
GACGAACGCUGGCGGCGUGCUUAACACAUGCAAGUCGAACGGAAAGGCCCUGCUUUUGUGGGGUGCUCGAGUGGCGAACGGGUGAGUAACACGUGAGUAACCUGCCCUUGACUUUGGGAUAACUUCAGGAAACUGGGGCUAAUCCCGGAUAGGAGCUCCUGCUGCAUGGUGGGGGUUGGAAAGUUUCGGCGGUUGGGGAUGGACUGGCGGCUUAUCGGUUUGUUGGUGGGGUAGUGGCUUACCAAGGCUUUGACGGGUACCCGGCCUGAGAGGGGGGCCGGCCACAUGGGGACUGAGAUACGGCCCAGACGCCUACGGGGGGCAGCAGUGGGGAAUAUGGCACAGUGGGCGGAAGCCUGAUGCAGCAACGCCGCGUGCGGGAAGACGGCCUUCGGGUUGUAAACCGCUUUCGCCUGUGACGAAGCGGGAGUGACGGUAAUGGGUAAAGAAGCACCGGCUAACUACGUG